rnacentral:rRNA from 1 species
CCUACGGGUGGCAGCAGUGGGGAAUAUUGGGCAAUGGGCGCAAGCCUGACCCAGCAACGCCGCGUGAAGGUAGAAGGCUUUCGGGUUGUAAACUUCUUUUCUCAGGGACGAAGAAAGUGACGCUACCUGAGGAAUAAGCCACGGCUAACUACGUGCCAGCAGCCGCGGUAAUACGUAGGUGGCAAGCGUUAUCCGGAUUUAUGGGGUGUAAAGGGCGUGUAGGCGGGAGCGCAAGUCAGAUGUGAAAACUCAGGGCUCAACCCUGGGCCUGCAUUUGAAACUGUGUUGCUUGAGUGCUGGUGAGGCAGUCGGAAUGCGGGGUGUAGCGGUGAAAUGCGUAGAUAUACGGAAGAACACCAGUGGCGAAGGCGGAUUGCUGGUCAGUAACUGACGCUGAGGCGCGAAAGCGUGGGGAGCAAACAGGAUUAGAUACCCGAGUAGUC